rnacentral:rRNA from 1 species
UACAGAGGUCCCAAGCGUUGUUCGGAUUCACUGGGCGUAAAGGGUGCGUAGGUGGGUUUGUAAGUCAGUGGUGAAAUCUCCAGGCUUAACCUGGAAACUGCCAUUGAUACUAUAGAUCUUGAAUUUUCUGGAGGUAAGCGGAAUAUGUCAUGUAGCGGUGAAAUGCUUAGAUAUGACAUAGAACACCAAUUGCGAAGGCAGCUUGCUACAGGGAUAUUGACACUGAGGCACGAAAGCGUGGGGAUCAAACAGG